AGAGCGAACGCUGGCGGCAGGCUUAACACAUGCAAGUCGAGCGGGCGUAGCAAUACGUCAGCGGCAGACGGGUGAGUAACGCGUGGGAACGUACCUUUUGGUUCGGAACAACACAGGGAAACUUGUGCUAAUACCGGAUAAGCCCUUACGGGGAAAGAUUUAUCGCCAAAAGAUCGGCCCGCGUCUGAUUAGCUAGUUGGUGAGGUAACGGCUCACCAAGGCGACGAUCAGUAGCUGGUCUGAGAGGAUGAUCAGCCACAUUGGGACUGAGACACGGCCCAAACUCCUACGGGAGGCAGCAGUGGGAAUAUUGGACAAUGGGCGCCAAGCCUGAUCCAGCCAUGCCGCGUGAGUGAUGAAGGCCCUAGGGUUGUAAAGCUCGUUUUGUGCGGGAAGAUAAUGACGGUACCGCAAGAAUAAGCCCGGCUAACUUCGCGCCAGCAGCCGC
rnacentral:rRNA from 1 species